rfam:Ovis aries breed Texel chromosome 3, whole genome shotgun sequence.
UCCCUGGUGGCUCAGAGGUUAAAGCGUCUGCCUGCAAUGCGUGAGACCCCGGUUUGAUCCCUGGUUAGGGAA